CAGAACGUGUCUUUAUCCUUAUCUUUCUUGACCAGUCCCACUAAAAUAUCACCAGUUUCCCACUUGCCAGCUUUCCAGUGAGCUUCGUCCUUUACAUGUUCCUUCCACUGGAAUGUAAGCCCUUCGCGGACAAGGACUAGCUUGUUCAUCAUUAAGUCUCCUAAACCUAGGAAACACCUGCCUGAGCUAAUAGUAAGAUGAAUAGUACAGGCGUAAGCUAUACAUAGUAUGUAUUUAUAUGAAUAUGUGCAUGGGACUUCUAAAAGUAAAGGUCAUCUCUGUACAUAUUACUAAUUAUUUAGAACACAUUGCUAAUUAUCCUCUCUAGGAUAGCUAUAAUUUUACCUCACCAAAAUGUGUCCAAGUACAAAUGUUAGAGGCUGAAGAGGAUACACGUUGUUAAAAAAACAUGAGGGACCUUCAAGACCUUGUAAUUCAGUCUUUGCCUCCACUUCUGUUGCACAGUUAGGGUAAAUGCAAUCCAAAAAUGUGACACAGUACACAGGGUCACAUGUUUAGUAGACUCUACAAGCCAUUCUCCAAAGUGGGCUUCUGAAUGGAAGUCAGCUGAAGACCCUUUCCACUUAGCCAGGCUGCCUUUCUUUCCUCUAUGUUGGAUUGUCCACUGAUCUACCUGCCUGCCAUCUCUUGGUCGUGGUAGUUUCUUAUACUGUUAGGCUUCAUAUAAGUGACUUAUUCCGAAACAGUGUUUGGGAGACUGGGCUCCUGAAACAGACUGUCUGGUUUGAAUCCUGACUGUGCUAUUUACUAGAUACAGUGUACCAAUAAAUUAUGUAACUGUGUCUCAGUUAAUUCAUCCAUAAAAUGGUGAUAACAAUUGAUAGCAAUACUUAUUUUUUCCUAUGAGAAUUAAACAAAGUAAUUUAUGUACAUAUAACAAAGUAAGUAUACCUGAUUUUUUUUUUUUUUACAAGAUCUUUAAGACUUUGGUUUGUAGAGUUAUUCUGGAUAAAUAAAAACUGAGUACUAACAUAUUAAAUAAUAUCUGGCCAAAAUAAUUUACAAAUUUCUUUAUUAGUUAAAUAUUGAUUGAAGAAAAGGCACCCUGGACAGAUUUUUUACCACUAACCAAGGAGUUCUCUUUCACCAUUAACUAAAUGUAAAACAAUUUCAGUGUUACCUUUGGAAACAUACAUAUUUAAAUUUACUACAAGGAAAGUAAUAAAUUCAUUUGAAGUCUAUUAUGAAUGAUUUUUAUAUUAUGUCUUACAUAGCAGUGUCAUUGCUUCCUUUCAUUAAAUCAGGUAAUGAGGACAUAGACAUAUUUGAAUGUUCAGGAAAAUACUUUGUGACUAGUCACUUAUGAUGGAGCAUGAUAGUGUGAGAAAAAAAGAAUGUAUACAUGUAUGUGUAACUGGGUCACCAUGCUGUCCAGUAGAAAAUUGACAGAACUCUGUAAACUAGCUAUAAUGGAAAAAAAUAAAAAUCAUUAAAAAAAAGGGAAUACUUUGUGUAGUCUAAAACUUACCAGAAAUUCUAAAAUCUAAUGUUAUACUCAGUCUUUUCCAAUGACCUGACCACAUUUUAAAAAAUGUUUUUGUUCUUCUACUUUUUAAAAUCACUUGAGUAUGUCUUAAGUUUAAUAUUUGUGAAGUCCUUUUAGAUUCUUUAAAUGAAUGACUCUAUAUGAAUGCAAAAUAUCUUUGUUAAUUCCUAGAAGUGUAAAAAAAUUACUUAAUGUACUUAGUGUAAUGUAGAAUACCCUGAAGAUGAAAAUUGUGAUGUAAACACUAUGCGUAAGUUUUAUUUACUAAAGUAAACCGUGUUCAAGCUGUUUCCUGAUGAGUACUUUUAAAAUUUCAUUUCCCAGACUCCUUUCAAGAGUUCACUGAAGCAUGCAUGCCAUGCUAUUCAAGCACUUCAGGAAUCUUCCCCCCCCCUUUUUUUUUUUUUUCUUUAGCUUCAAGUCUUAGGAAUUCUAAUUUUCUGUUCUUAACUAUCACUUUUACUGCCACCUAGAAACCUGUAUGUAACAUCAUAAAAUCAUAUGCAAAUGAGAUUGGCUGUAUUUGCACUGUUGUCUUUUUUUACUGUAGAAAUAGAAUUUUUUACUCAGACUUCAUUUAUUUAUUAAUUAAAAUCAAACCAAUAUUUGAAAUAAUUUGGAGAGUAUUGAAAGAGACUCUUAACGUCCUCCCUUGAUUAUAAAUGAUGUGAAUGAUUAGUACUAACUUGCUAUGGAAAGUUAUUACAGAGUCAUCUGUUUUGUUCGAAUUUCUCACGUGUAGAGGGCAAAAUAUUUUUUUUAAAUGUGCCUAAAUUCAUCUUGGCUGUCUCAUUUUUCCUAUUCAUUCUUUUCUCUAAUACUAGUGAUGGGGACGGGGACUAACACACACAGAUAAAUGACCUCCCACUGAAAAUAAUCUUUAAUCUGUUGUCUCCAUUUAUCCCAUUGCAUAUAUUUCUGGUAUUUCUAUCCAUGUAGAACAGUGAGCCUAUCUGUGACUUCAAAAUUUCCUAAUACAAAGGUAGCUGAAGGUAGAUGGCUUGCCAGACAAAGAAUGGAAGUGGCAGAAAUGCCAGUAAAAAGCAGAAGCAGCAACAGCUGGCCAAAUCUGUGACCCCCAAGAGCUGGAAGACAGGAGAGAAAUGUGAAUGAGAGAAAACAAGCAAUCCUUGUUAUGGGUGUGCUGAGCUCUUGGCUUGUCCUGUCUGCCUCCUUCCUCUCCCCUCUCUCCCUUUCUAAUAUUUCAACUUCCGGAAAGGAGUUGGUGAAGGAGCAGUGCCAUGAUUACAAGAGAAAGAUUGACAUUCCAUUUGUUAGUGCUUGCGGGGUCACUACACACUCUGACUUAUGGGUUUAUGCUUCAUACCCAAUUAGCCAGUCAAAAUGGGAAUGUCCAUUGUUUUAAGAAAAUCCAAGUUGACAUCAGCAUCUCCUAAAUUCAUUUGACCUCAGAAUACUUUUUUUCCCUGAAAUACCAUUAACAUCCCACUUCUAGAGCUAGUGUUCCUUGGAAUGUACUUUGGAGGAUGAUGCUUUAAAUAAUCAAAAAUUUUCAUUACUUUUUCCACGUACCGCACUAACAAGGAAAUAUAUGAUAUGUUUUUAGACAGUUUCCCCCCAAAAAAGUUCAAGUAAAAAUGACUUUGUUUCUAAAAGUCUUCCUCUUUCAUCUGUCUGAAGCUUGUCUAUGACCUUAACCACAUCAGAUAACUAAGGGGAUACUUGUUUGUUAAAUAAACUUUGUCUUAAAACAUAAAAAGGAAAAGAGAGAAGGAGGAGAACUAAAACUCAUGUAACCCUCUUCUUUUUCCUAAAUGAAUCCGAUUUUUCUUCUUGUGUUUGUGUUCAAAUGGCCUCUGAACCCUUCUUCAUGUCCUCCAUGCCAGCUGUGCUUAAAAAUCUUUUACGUUCUAGAAAUUUAGGAUGUUUCGUUAUUUAUCUGUAUUUGUUAGGGCCAGCCUUAAUGAAGAAGACUUUAUAAUAGACUGCUUAUUGCAAGGGCUUGUAAAAGAAAAAUAAGCUGAGUUUGGCCUGUGAACUUGGAUAUGCACUAGAGGUAUAGGUUUUUUUUACUACGUGACAGAGCAGAAGGAGACUGAAAUUGCUAAUAGGAGUUUUUGAGGAUUUAGGGAUUAAAAACAAAGCCACCUUGUGUCAUCUUCACUUGGGGAGAAGGAAAGACAUUUAGUAUUUAGAGACGACCUGGUACUGCAUCAUGGGCCUCGGUUUGUUGCUGAAGUUUCCUCACUGUUUAUGGAUAACGUGAAAAGGAAAAGAUAUCUGUAGAUCCUGUCUGGAAAAUAAUAUUAUCAGACGCUAGAACUACCAUUUGCAAAUUUUUCAAGUAGCUCGAUCCAUAAAAGCAACUGUUUAGGAAGCUGUGCACAUGGUGAGCAUUUUCUGUUUCGCCCAUCUCAGGUAACGUUUGCUUAGAGCCCUCAGAUGCAAAAUGUAGAUAAUAAGAAAUACCUAGAUCUUAAGGAUAUUUGAGUGAUGCCUGUAUUUUUGUUUUAUUUACCAGUGAAAAUUAAAAGCAUCCUCACAAAUUAUGUUUUUCUGUUUUCAGUGAUAUAUUUUUGCUUCAUGUUUUACUUUUUAAUAUAUUUUUAUGAUCAUUUCGUGUACAGAUAUUUUUAAAGAGACUUUUACAUGGUUGAAUUAUUAACCAAGAGUGUAUUCUCAAUCGUCUUGACACCAACGCCACUAGAAUUCAGUCUUCUAAUGUGCACUGCUAUAUAGUGAGAUGUUGUUUGUGGGGACUCUGUUCCAGUAGAGGAAGGAGUAGCAUGGUUUUGGUCUCUCACUUUUAUUGGUUUAAAGUGGUCAUGGAAUCUCCAAGUUAAGGUCUAGGGCCAUCAGUAGGAGAAAUGAUUUGUUAAAAAUAGAGCAAUCCUGGAGUUCCCUGGUGGCACAGCAUGUUAAGGAUGGGGCAUUGUCAUGUGGUACAGGUUCGAUCCUUGGCCUGGGAACUUCUGCACGCAGUGGGCAUGCCUAUAUAAAUAUACACACACAUACAUUGUGUGUGCGUGUGUGUAUACACACACAUAUAUAUAUACACACAUAUACAUAUAGCAAUCCUGGCAGAGCAAAUUUUUUUUUUUAGUUAUGUGGUAAACUUCAAAACUCUGAUCUAGUCAUAGAGUACCAGUGUCUGUAAAUGGAGUUCCUUUGGAGUGGUUUCUUUGACAGGGUUUUGUUAUAGUCACAGAAAAGAAAAUCCAGAAUGGUUGUUAAUAAAUUGGGAAGCAUGAAUGUGCAAAGCUUACCUGCAGCUCUGCCUUUAUUUCUAUACCCAAAUAAACUCCAGCUAAAUUGUGAAAUUAAUCACCCUGAAGUCCUAGGCCCUGAUAAGGGUCCUGCCACUCUGUUUUAUUUCUUUUGAUGCUGUAAAACAAUUUUGCAAAGUUUUCUUAGCUGGGCUUUGGCUUUUAUUACAGAAUCACAUGCAUCACAAGAGCCCUUAUCUUAAUGCUGUAUCAUUCCAGGGAUUGGAUCCAGCUUAUUCAACUUCUUUGCUAAAUUGCCAUGUUGCAGGAAAGCUAAUUACAGUUCUUCAUUGAGUCAGUGCUUAUUAUCUGCUCUCCCCACCACAAAAUAUGGUGCUCUCUAGGCUAAUCAAUAAAAUUCAGUGUUUUAUUUUUAUAAUUUCUUGCUUUUUUAUCUCUAUGUAUGAGAGAAAGACUAUAUUGUUUACUUAUUAAAGAUUAUUUAGCACAUCUUCACAACUGUAGAUUUUUUCCCUACUGCUACGGGUUCCUAACACAAUGUGUCACAGAAUAAAGACUGGCUUUUAUUUUCUUAUUUAUAUGAUACUAUUAUUUAUGAAUCUUCAAUAAAUAAAUACAUUGAACUUAAUAAUUAAAAAUCUUUUGCAUGUUUUGAAUCCUUGAGAAUUUAUUCAAAAUGACCUAUGGUCAUAGAAGACCACCAGUUCAAGUAUUCAGGGCCAUCCAAAUAUGAAUUUUUAAUAAUAUUUUCAAUAAAAUAUAAUGACUAUAUUAGAACUGACAUGGUAUACUUAAUGUAAAUUUCACAAUUAGAGCUGCAUAAUUUAUUCACAUCAAUAUUAGACCUAUAUUUGAUGUUCAGCUCUGUUUUAUUCACUUUAAAAUGGUUUUUGUUCUGCUUAAUUGGUUUGGAUUUGCUCUGUCAGGUUCUUUUUCCUCUAUCUCUUUAGUGAGAAAGUUACACUCCUUUAUAUUGUCUCUAUUUCUUUUUAAAGAAAAAGUCUGAUUAAAAGCAAUUUAUUCACAGUUUAUGAGCACUUCAAAAAAAUGUUUCCUGCCUUCACUGUAGCAUUGUGGAAACCUCAUGAUACAUCCUUCAUAGAAAAUAGACACUAGAAAAUACAUAAACCAUGAGAUUCUGUUAAAGGUCAUUAUUUCUAAGAUCACAUUAUUGACUGUGUUCUGAAAGAAUAGAGCCUGAUGCCAUGGGGACACCUCUAUUCACACCCAUUGUUAAUUGGCUUGCUAACUAUUUCUGUAUUUCUAUUGGCUAUAGAGCAAUUAGUUUUAUGCUAGUAUAUAUUGGUAAAAAUAUUCUGUUAUUCUAGUAGCUUGAAACAUUCAUUACUCUAUUAUUCUUAGAGUUAUUUAACAGAAAUAACCUAGAGCUUUUCUUCAUGAGUGACCGGUCUCCAUAUUUUUAGCAAGAUGACCGCUUCAGAAAUGCCCAGACAUGGGAGUUCCUUGGUGGCACAUCUGGUUAAGGAUCCAGCUUUGUUGCUGCUGUGG
rnacentral:lncRNA from 1 species